GACGGAGGAUGCAAGUGUUAUCCGGAAUCACUGGGCGUAAAGCGUCUGUAGGUGGUUUAAAAAGUCUACUGUUAAAGCUUGGAAGCUUAACUUCAAAAAUGCCCGUAGAAACUUUUAAACUUGAGUAUGGUAGGGGUAGAGGGAAUUUCCAGUGGAGCGGUGAAAUGCGUAGAGUCUUGGAAAGACCACCAAUGGCGAAGGCAACUCUACUGGGCCAUUACUGACACUAAGAGACGAAAGCUAGGGGAGCAAAUGGG
rnacentral:rRNA from 1 species